AGUGAACGCUGGCGGUAGGCCUAACACAUGCAAGUCGAACGGCAGCACAGUAAGAGCUUGCUCUUACGGGUGGCGAGUGGCGGACGGGUGAGGAAUACAUCGGAAUCUACUUUUUCGUGGGGGAUAACGUAGGGAAACUUACGCUAAUACCGCAUACGACCUACGGGUGAAAGCAGGGGAUCUUCGGACCUUGCGCGAUUGAAUGAGCCGAUGUCGGAUUAGCUAGUUGGCGGGGUAAAGGCCCACCAAGGCGACGAUCCGUAGCCGGUCUGAGAGGAUGAUCGGCCGCACGAGAACUGAGACACGGUCAAGGCUCCUACGGGAGGCAGCAGUGGGGAAUAUUGGACAAUGGUCGCAAGCCUGAUCCAGCCAUCCCGCGUGGGUGAAGAAGGCCUUCGGGUUGUAAAGCCCUUUUGUUGGGAAAGAAAAGCAGCAGGUUAAUACCCCGCUGUUCUGACGGUACCCAAAGAAUAAGCACCGGCUAACUUCGUG
rnacentral:rRNA from 1 species